rnacentral:rRNA from 1 species
UACGUAGGGGGCGAGCGUUGUCCGGAAUCAUUGGGCGUAAAGCGCGUGUAGGCGGCUCGAUAAGUCCGGUGUGAAACCUUGGGGCUCAACCCCAAGCCUGCACUGGAUACUGUCGAGCUCGAGUCCGGGAGGGGAGAGCGGAAUUCCUAGUGUAGCGGUGAAAUGCGCAGAUAUUAGGAAGAACACCGGUGGCGAAGGCGGCCCUCUGGAACGGUACUGACGGCUGAGACGCGAAAGCGUGGGGAGCGAACAGG